rnacentral:pre_miRNA from 1 species
UGUUAAAAAUUUUAUUUAUUUCUACUGUUAAAAAAUGGCGUUGCUGAUGUAAUAAUUAAAUAGUUAUAUAUGACUUGCCACAUGUAUCUCAUGUUGAGGACUAAUUUUUAGCAGUAGAUAUUAAUGAAAUUUUUAAUA